rnacentral:rRNA from 1 species
GACGAACGCUGGCGGCGUGCUUAACACAUGCAAGUCGAACGGUAAGGCCCUUCGGGGUACACGAGUGGCGAACGGGUGAGUAACACGUGGGUGAUCUGCCCUGCACUUCGGGAUAAGCCUGGGAAACUGGGUCUAAUACCGGAUAGGACCACUGCCUGCAUGGGUGGUGGUGGAAAGCUUUUGCGGUGUGGGAUGGGCCCGCGGCCUAUCAGCGUGUUGGUGGGGUGAUGGCCUACCAAGGCGACGACGGGUAGCCGGACUGAGAGGGUGACCGGCCACACUGGGACUGAGAUACGGACCAGAGUCCGACGGGAGGCAGCAGUGGGGAAUAUUGCACAAUGGGCGCAAGCCUGUUGCAGCGACGCCGCGUGAGGGAUGACGGCCUUCGGGUUGUAAACCUCUUUCAGCACCGACGAAGCGCAAGUGACGGUAGGUGCAGAAGAAGGACCGGCCAACUACGUGCCAGCCGCCGCGGUAA